rnacentral:lncRNA from 1 species
CGAACAAAAAGUUGGUACUGAGAUACAACUAACAAAACAACACAGCAUAAGUUCUAUUCAAACAUAAAAACACACCGGCAGGAAUAAACUAAAUAUUUAGUUUCAACUCAUAACCUCCAUCCAGAAAAGUAACACGAACAAAAUAAGAUAGCUGAACGCUGGCUAGGAAUGUCGACACAAGUACUCAAGAAAUCAGCCAUCAAAACUGACUACAAAGUUCACGACACCAAGUGGCACAUAUAUCAUCUUCUAGAUAUGAAGCAGCAAAAUAGCGACUUCUAUUCUCUACUCAGCAGCAGCAACCUCCUCCGCACCAGGAAUGACCUCGUCCCCAUCAGCAGGCCUGUCAAGCUUCAC